rnacentral:rRNA from 1 species
CACGGGGGGGAGCAAGCGUUGUUCGGAAUCACUGGGCUUAAAGGGCGCGUAGGCGGGCCGCCGCGUCCGGGGUGAAAUCCUCCGGCUCAACCGGGGAAGGGCCUCGGAUACGGGCGGCCUGGAGUGGGGUAGGGGCGUGCGGAACUGUGGGUGGAGCGGUGAAAUGCGUUGAGAUCCACAGGAACUCCGGUGGCGAAGGCGGCACGCUGGACCCUUUCUGACGCUGAGGCGCGAAAGCCAGGGGAGCGAACGGG